rnacentral:rRNA from 1 species
CGCCUAACACAUGCAAGUCGAACGGGUUCAGACCCGUGGCAGACGGCUGCGUAACACGUUGGUACAUCCCCCGAACUCAGGGAUAUCCCGCCGAAAGGCGGAAUAAUACCGGAUGCCCUCGCAAGAGGAAAGAUUUUUCGGUUCGGGAGUGGCCUGCGGCCUAUCAGGUAGUUGGUAAGGUAACGGCUUACCAAGCCUAUGACGGGUAGCUGAUUUGAGAGAAUGAUCAGCCAGAAUGGAACUGAGACACGGUCCAUACUCCUACGGGAGGCAGCAGUGAGGAAUCUUCCGCAAUGGGCGAAAGCCUGACGGAGCGACACCGCGUGAAGGAUGAAGAGAUUUUUUCUCGUAAACUUC